rnacentral:lncRNA from 1 species
AUCUUUCUCUGCAGAAGGGUCAAGGCUUGGUCCAGGUUGUUGUUCCUCACUUUCACUCGGAUGCCACGCCACUGCUGCAGCUCCCAAUUUACCGAGCCUAGAGCCGCACUUGGACGGGUAAAAAGGAUCCCUGCUCGCUUCGCUAACGAAUUCAUUGUUCAGUGGGUUUGUUAUUCCUAUUCAAAUUGUGUCCAAGGGUUUAUGUUUGAAAUGGAAACUUCUUUAGGAAAUUGAUUUUAUCCAAAAUAAGUUUCUGCUAAUUCAAAUUAUGAAAAUGAGAUAUAUUUUAUAAAUCGGUAUGAAUAAGAAAAAUCUAUUUUAAGUAAUGACUACGACCAACACCACUUAUCUCUAAUACAAAUAAGAAGGAAAACUGAGAAGCACAUAAUACAAGUCUUCAAUUCUUCUCUGCAUAGAAAGGGUUUGUCGAAUCAAAAUUCAGAGGGAAAAAAAAAGUUCUGUAGAUUAUUCAUCACAUUGUUCUACUACUGUUAAAAAAUUCAGGUAACUUUUUUACGCAAUUAGAAGUAUAACUUCAGUGAGUAUCCACUUCUCUAUGGAAAAUCUUCAAACUACCCUGUGCAAAACUGGAUAUUUUCUACAUUAAAGAGAAAUCGGGUGAAACAGAUACGUUAUAUAUAAAAAUCUCGAAAGAAUACCAGGUGCUGAUUUGUAGAUGAAAAUAGCGAUCUCAC